rnacentral:rRNA from 1 species
UACGUAGGGGGCAAGCGUUGUCCGGAAUCAUUGGGCGUAAAGCGCGCGUAGGCGGCCCGGUAAGUCCGUUGUGAAAGUCAAAGGCUCAACCUUUGAACGCCGAUGGAUACUACCGGGCUAGAGUCCGGAAGAGGCGAGUGGAAUUCCUGGUGUAGCGGUGGAAUGCGCAGAUAUCAGGAGGAACACCAAUAGCGAAGGCAGCUCGCUGGGACGGUACUGACGCUGAGGCGCGAAAGCGUGGGGAGCGAACAGG